AUCCCAUGAUGAGGGCACUUCCGUAGUAGUUCCUUAAAUCUAUCCCACGCUUCAUACAAUGACUCCCCAUCUGCUUGUUGGAACAAGGUUAUGUCAUUCCUUAACUU
rfam:Morus notabilis contig16144, whole genome shotgun sequence.